rnacentral:tRNA from 2 species
AUGAUAAUUAGUUUAAGCCAAAAACAAAUGAUUUCGACUCAUUAGAUUAUGAUU